rnacentral:rRNA from 1 species
GACGAACGCUGGCGGCGUGCUUAACACAUGCAAGUCGAACGGUAAGGCCCUUCGGGGUACACGAGUGGCGAACGGGUGUGUAACACGUGGGUGAUCUGCCCUGCACUUCGGGAUAAGCCUGGUAAACUGGGUCUAAUACCGGACAGGACUCCUGGCUUCAUGGUUGGGGGUGGAAAGCUUUUGCGGUGUGGGAUGGGCCCGCGGCUGUUCAGCUUGUUGGUGGGGUAAUGGCCUACCAAGGCGGCGACGGGUAGCCGGCCUGAGAGGGUGACCGGUCACACUGGGACUGAGAUACGGCCCAGAGUCCUACGGGAGGCAGCAGUGGGGAAUAUUGCACAAUGGGCGCAAGCCUGAUGCAGCGACGCCGCGUGAGGGAUGACGGCCUUCGGGUUGUAAACCUCUUUCAGCUAUGACGAAGCGCAAGUGACGGUAGUAGCAGAAGAAGGACCGGCCAACUACGUGCCAGCCGCCGCCGUAACAC